rnacentral:rRNA from 1 species
UACGUAGGGGCCGAGCGUUGUCCGGAGUUACUGGGCGUAAAGCGCGCGCAGGCGGCUCGUCAAGCCUGACGUGAAAGCCCCCGGCUCAACCGGGGAGGGUCGUCGGGGACUGGCGGGCUUGAGGUCGGCAGGGGUUGGUGGAAUUCCCAGUGUAGCGGUGAAAUGCGUAGAUAUUGGGAGGAACACCAGUGGCGAAGGCGGCUCACUGGACUGGUACUGACGCUGAGGCGCGAAAGCGUGGGGAGCAAACAGG